rnacentral:tRNA from 1 species
GGGCGCUUAGCUCAGGGGGAGAGCGCUUCCCUCACACGGAAGAGGCCGCUGGUUCAAUCCCAGCAGCGCCCACCA